UACGAGGGGGGCAAGCGUUGUUCGGAAUUAUUGGGCGUAAAGGGCGCGUAGGCGGUUUGGCAAGUUUGGUGUGAAAUCUUCGGGCUCAACUCGAAGUCUGCAUCGAAAACUGCCGGGCUUGAGUAUGGGAGAGGUGAGUGGAAUUUCCGGUGUAGCGGUGAAAUGCGUAGAUAUCGGAAGGAACACCUGUGGCGAAAGCGGCUCACUGGACCAUAACUGACGCUGAGGCGCGAAAGCUAGGGGAGCAAACAG
rnacentral:rRNA from 1 species